UAUAAUUUUCAAUUUAUAAAAUUUNNCCGAUGAAUGCCUCGGCUCGGGUUA
rnacentral:rRNA from 1 species